rnacentral:misc_RNA from 1 species
GGGAAAAUGAAUGCUUCUUUCCGCAAUUUAGAUGUAGAACAGAAAUAGAGAUAGCUUGAAAGACUUCUUGUUUAUUGUACAGAACAGCAUGGAAAAUGGAGAAAAAAUAUCCCAUUUUCUAGCUGUAGUAUGAAAAACUUAAGAGCAGUUCCUCCAGAGAUUUUUGCUACAUCUAAAGAUUUUUAUACAACCCUAGCCCAGUACAUCACAUAUAUAGGGAUAUUUACAUGAACACAAAUCCAGAAAACCAAGUAAAACAAGAGGCAUCUGUUUGCAGUGUCACAAAAACAAAAUUAGUCACACUAGACCUUCCCUAAGUCCUUCAAAAACCGAAACUUGCCCCUCUACUUCCUUGUAUCGGUCAGUUAGCUGCUAACAUUGUUUGCAAUGAAGCUAGUGAUUAAAUUGAUCCAUUCAGGAUCGCAGUGAGUGAUGCAACCACAUACAGAUGAGUUGAACUUGACCUUGCUCUUAUGGUCUGCAUGCCACCACUUCAAGAUCUCUCAUGAAAGUUGAUGGAACGAGACAAGGCAGCAGGGUUUGCGCGCAAUAUCGGAGAGGUUUCAGCAACAUGCUUCUUUUCAUCACUCUUUGGUUGGAAGGCCUUGAACAGUCUUCCCCCAGUAAGGGUUUCAUUCUUUAUUCCAAGCGUUGCCCAUAUAGAACUUUUUGCAGCUUCAGUUGGAUCAUCAAUCCUUAGAAUUUUAGGAACUAAAACAUGUCCAUUUCUAUUCUUUGCCGUCUCUUCUUUCUCUAGGUCUUCUGGCUUAAGUGUGUCCCCGUCUCUCGAGUGCUUUCCCAAAGGAGAAUUAGGACCAGAUGGAGCCUUUUGAUUUGAUGAUGAAGAAGAUGAUUGAGGAGACACCAAAGGGAUGUUCCAACCACCAGGGAUACCACAAUUCCAAAAGGCAGGAUAAAAUGAUAUGGGAAAUCCUGGUGGGCAAAAAGCUGGAGGGGGCAAAACAGAAUUCCAAGGAUAGGGCCAGGGAACACCAGGGAUGCAUGGGAUUGGAGAGGCAAACCCAUUGAUGCUUUGCAUAAAAUGUUCUUGUAAGCAAGUCCUGCCACCUUCCCCCAUUGAAUUGGAAACUGUCACAGAAGAUCCACUUGAGCAAUCAUCACCGUUUUCUCUACCAUUGCAAGGAGCUGGAAUUCUCUGUUCUUCAAAGUUAUGAAGGCCAUUUCGAGUGCCAUUCAAAACCUUCUUAUCAGCGAUAUUUAAUACAGAAGCCAUGGAAUCACAUAUUGGUGCAUCCAAGCCAAAGCUAAGGACUCUACCACUAGUUUUCAGUGCAGGGCUGUGUGUUCCAUCAGGAGCCUCAAUACGAGCAGCCUGAAGCGCCUCAGAAAUGGUUAUGUGAUGAUAAUGAGAGGCAGAGUUCUUAUUCUUGCGACGUCCAGCUCCCACUGGGACAUUCCUCAUGGUACCACCAGCAGUCCAAUAUCUUUGACAGGCUUUGCAGAAAUGGCGCGGUUGGUUGAUAUUGUAAUUGUUGUAGUAACAAAAUUUGGUAUCCAUGCUAUUGCAUCUAGGGCACGGAAGUAUUUUGUCAGGCUUCUUGAGGGUUUUCUCUUGUUUGUUGCUUGCAUCAUUCUGCUCUUUCUCUGUCUUGGAAGUCUUUGAUUUUGCAGAUUCUUCAUUGAUAGAGGGUGUUUUGGGAUUCACAUUAGUCUCUGGUGAUGUUUCUGGAUCUGCAGACUCCUCUGUAUCCUGCAGUGGAGUAUCAUCUUCUUCUGCUCCUUCUGCAAAAUCCUGAAAUUUAACAUGGUCUCUUAGUUAUUUACAUCUAUUUGUCAUAAAUUAAAUCAAUAUUCAGCAACAACAAGAAAGAACAAGCCAAAUGAAUGAAUAGAACAAAGUGAAUAUUCCAUAAAUAUACUUCAUCAUUUCUGAAUUCUGAUUAAAUUCCAAUGUUUGCUUUAUCAAUCUUCCUCUGUUUCUAGUCAUACACGUGAAGAGGUCUAGAAAAUUAGUCAAUUGAGAAACAAAGGAACAGACACAUGUAGAAGAACUAUAGUCAUGAAGACUAAGAAAACAGAAAAUAAUUGAACAGAAAGAGUAACAAAUUGAAAAAUUCAGCAGGAGACCUUCAAAAUAAAGCAUAUUCAACAGGAAAUUUGAAGUUGAAAUGCAACUCAUCUAAUCAAACCUGUGUAGUUAUACGAAACAUCAAAUUAAAAAGAGAAAGAAAAUUUUGCUUUGACGAGAGGCUGGAAUUCGAUUGUU